rnacentral:rRNA from 1 species
UGAGACACGGCCCAGACUCCUACGGGAGGCAGCAGUGGGGAAUAUUGCACAAUGGGCGGAAGCCUGAUGCAGCAACGCCGCGUGCGGGAUGACGGCCUUCGGGUUGUAAACCGCUUUCAGUUCCGACGAAGCGAAAGUGACGGUAGGAACAGAAGAAGGACCGGCCAACUACGUGCCAGCAGCCGCGGUGAUACGUAGGGUCCGAGCGUUGUCCGGAAUUAUUGGGCGUAAAGGGCUUGUAGGCGGUCUGUCGCGUCGGAAGUGAAAACUCAGGGCUUAACUCUGAGCGUGCUUUUGAUACGGGCAGACUAGAGGGAUGCAGGGGAGAACGGAAUUCCUGGUGGAGCGGUGGAAUGCGCAGAUAUCAGGAGGAACACCGAUGGCGAAGGCAGGUCUCUGGGCUGUUACUGACGCUGAGGAGCGAAAGCAUGGGGAGCGAACAGGAUUAGAUACCCUGGUAGUCCAUGCCGUAAACGUUGGGCACUAGGUGUGGGGGACAUUCCACGUUUUCCGCGCCGUAGCUAACGCAUUAAGUGCCCCGCCUGGGGAGUACGGCCGCAAGGCUAAAACUCAAAGGAAUUGACGGGGGCCCGCACAAGCGGCGGAGCAUGCGGAUUAAUUCGAUGCAACGCGAAGAACCUUACCAGGGUUUGACAUAAUGUGAAUUUCUUUGAAAGAAGAAAGUGCCUUCGGGAACACAUAUACAGGUGGUGCAUGGCUGUCGUCAGCUCGUGUCGUGAGAUGUUGGGUUAAGUCCCGCAACGAGCGUAACCCUUGU